CCUACGGGUGGCAGCAGUGGGGGAUAUUGCGCAAUGGGGGGAACCCUGAUGCAGCGACGCCGCGUGGGUGAAGAAGCGCCUCGGCGCGUAAAGCCCUGUCAGCAGGGAAGAAAAUGUCGGUACCUGAAGAAGAAGACCCGGCUAACUACGUGCCAGCAGCCGAGGUAAAACGUCGGGGGCAAGCGUUAUCCGGAUUUACUGGGUGUAAAGGGGGCGCAGACGGCGAUGCAAGCCAGGGGUGAAAGCCCGGGGCUCAACCCCGGGACUGCUCUUGGAACUGCGUGGCUGGAGUGCAGGAGGGGCAGGCGGAAUUCCUGGUGUAGCGGUGAAAUGCGUAGAUAUCAGGAGGAACACCGGUGGCGAAGGCGGCCUGCUGGACUGCAACUGACGUUGAGGCCCGAAAGCGUGGGGAGCAAACAGGAUUAGAUACCCGUGUAGUC
rnacentral:rRNA from 1 species